AGAAAUUGAGAGAGAGAGCCUCAUUUGCUCCUCUCAUUCUCUCUCUUCACUUCUGAAAUAAAGUUGCUCUGCAACUUCUUCUUCUUCUCCGUUACUCUCCUCACGGCCAAACCUGCCGGAGAAGACGGUGGCGGCCGGCCAACCGCGGCGGCGCCGCCCUCUUCUCCGGCGACUCUUCACCCUAAACCCAAACUUUAAAACACGAAUCCCACUUGUUUUUGGCCGGAGAUUUCAAAUCCGGCCUCAGUUUUUUCAAAAUCCGCUUCAAUCAACCGGAUCGGCGUAACGAACAAGAAGCGUAUGGAUUUAAAGCAAGGAAAGGAAAGAAGAAUGACUACUUGCCCUGAGUUGCGUCCGGCGACGUGAGCUUUCCGUCGCUUGUAGAGAUAAGUUUUUCUCCUCUUUUUAAAUCUUUUUCGCCUUCUUCUAUUCUUCCUUCUUCUUUUGGGUUUUGAAUCCUGUUGUUGUUGCCUGGCUGUCUUGGUCUCUUUGAAUGAUUAUGAGUUAAAAUGUUUAAAAUUAUUUUUUGAUCUCUUCCUGGAUUCUCGAAAACAUCUCUGUUUUGUUGUUUAGGGUUUGAGGUUAAUUCUAAAAAACGUGUGUUGUGUUGUUUUGGAUUUUUCCAGACUGUUCUUUGUUUUGGUUUGAGGUUAACAGAGAAAAAUAAUUUGAUUGUUUUCUCUUGGAUUUUUCAAAACGUUUCUUCUGUUUCUUUGGAGUUACUUUGGAGUUAACAGAAAAAAAAUUACUUUGACAAUUUCUUCUGAUUUCAUCCAAAAACCGUGUCAUUGUUAAUUAAUUUUAUGGUUUAUAUACAUGAAUGUUGUGGUUCUGAGAUAACUUGUUAAGUUAUCCUUUUUCCAGAUUUUGUGGGAUAAUUACCUUAUGGACUUAAGGUUGUUGAUGUGGAUAUUGCAAAGUAUUUUUUUUGUGUUUCCUUUGAUUCACUGUGUAACCAAUUAAUCUGCUUACUUUAUCAUUUAUUUUUCAGUUUUUUAAGUGCUUAUUUGAUAAGCUGUUUUUAAAUUAUGAAUUGGUUUUGCAGGUUUGCAUAAAGUGAAUGGACAUUGAUUGAAAAUUGGUUUGCUUUUGGAUUUGGGGCCCCUGUAAUUAGGGACUGAAAUUGGGCGCUUGGGAAUUUCAAGAAGCUUUUGGAAGAGUCUUUUGAAGAGUUGCUUCAAACUGCUGUAUUUUACAGCUUAUCUCCAACUUUUCAACCUAGCUGUAACAGAACUUUUGGGCAUAUUAUACAUUUUAAUUUUAAAAAAAAAAAUUAUUGUGAUAAUUAUGUAAAUACUUUGGAUUAUUAUAUAAACUUGGAGUUAAUUGGAACUU